GAUCCAGACUUUGAUCAUGGCUCAGGAUGAACGCUGGCGGCGUGCCUAACACAUGCAAGUCGAGCGAUCUUCUUCGGAAGAGAGCGGCGGACGGGUGAGUAACGCGUGGGUAACCUGCCUCAUACACAUGGAUAACAUACCGAAAGGUAUGCUAAUACAAGAUGAUAUAAGAGAUUCGCAUGGAUUUCUUAUCAAAGCUCCGGCGGUAUGAGAUGGACCCGCGUCUGAUUAGCUAGUUGGUAAGGUAACGGCUUACCAAGGCGACGAUCAGUAGCCGACCUGAGAGGGUGAUCGGCCACAUUGGAACUGAGACACGGUCCAAACUCCUACGGGAGGCAGCAGUGGGGAAUAUUGCACAAUGGGCGAAAGCCUGAUGCAGCGACGCCGCGUGAGCGAUGAAGGCCUUCGGGUCGUAAAGCUCUGUCCUCAAGGAAGAUAAUGACGGUACUUGAGGAGGAAGCCCCGGCUAACUACGUGCCAGCAGCCGCGGUAAUACGUAGGGGGCUAGCGUUAUCCGGAUUUACUGGGCGUAAAGGGUGCGUAGGUGGUUUCUUAAGUCAGGAGUGAAAGGCUACGGCUCAACCGUAGUAAGCUCUUGAAACUGGGAAACUUGAGUGCAGGAGAGGAAAGUGGAAUUCCUAGUGUAGCGGUGAAAUGCGUAGAUAUUAGGAGGAACACCAGUAGCGAAGGCGGCUUUCUGGACUGUAACUGACACUGAGGCACGAAAGCGUGGGGAGCAAACAGGAUUAGAUACCCUGGUAGUCCACGCCGUAAACGAUGAGUACUAGGUGUCGGGGGUUACCCCCCUCGGUGCCGCAGCUAACGCAUUAAGUACUCCGCCUGGGGAGUACGCUCGCAAGAGUGCAACUCAAAGGAAUUGACGG
rnacentral:rRNA from 1 species